rnacentral:rRNA from 1 species
GAUGAACGCUGGCGGCGUGCCUAAUACAUGCAAGUCGAGCGAACAGACGAGGAGCUUGCUCCUCUGACGUUAGCGGCGGACGGGUGAGUAACACGUGGAUAACCUACCUAUAAGACUGGGAUAACUUCGGGAAACCGGAGCUAAUACCGGAUAAUAUAUUGAACCGCAUGGUUCAAUAGUGAAAGACGGUUUUGCUGUCACUUAUAGAUGGAUCCGCGCCGCAUUAGCUAGUUGGUAAGGUAACGGCUUACCAAGGCAACGAUGCGUAGCCGACCUGAGAGGGGGAUCGGCCACACUGGAACUGAGACACGGUCCAGACUCCUACGGGAGGCAGCAGUAGGGAAUCUUCCGCAAUGGGCGAAAGCUUGACGGAGCAACGCCGCGUGAGUGAUGAAGGUCUUCGGAUCGUAAAACUCUGUAUUAGGGAAGAACAAAUGUGUAAGUAACUAUGCACGUCUUGACGGUACCUAAUCAGAAAGCCACGGCUAACUACGUG